rnacentral:snRNA from 1 species
GUACCCGCUUCAGCGGUACACAUACUAAAAUUGAAACGAUGCAGAGAAUAUUAGCAUGGACCCUGCUCAAGGAUGACACGCAAAUCGUGAAGCGUUCCACAUUUUU